rnacentral:tRNA from 1 species
GCCGAUCUGUCGCGCGCGGGUAUGGGCGGCUCGAAGCUGCCGGAUCUGAAGGCCGAGUUCAGCACCGCGCCGUUCGAGCGCGGCGUGGUCGGCA